AACGAACGCUGGCGGCAGGCCUAACACAUGCAAGUCGAGCGCCCCGCAAGGGGAGCGGCGGACGGGUGAGUAACACGUGGGAAUUUUCCUCAAGGUACGGAACAACUCAGGGAAACUUGGGCUAAUACCGUAUGAUGCAGAGAUGCCAAAGAUUUAUCGCCUUGGGAUAAGCCCGCGUCAGAUUAGGUAGUUGGUGGGGUAAUGGCCUACCAAGCCUGUGAUCUGUAGCUGGUCUGAGAGGACGAUCAGCCACAUUGGGACUGAGACACGGCCCAAACUCCUACGGGAGGCAGCAGUGGGGAAUCUUGCGCAAUGGACGAAAGUCUGACGCAGCCAUGCCGCGUGAAUGAUGAAGGUCUUAGGAUUGUAAAGUUCUUUAGCCUGUGACGAUGAUGACGGUAACAGGAGAAUAAGCCCCGG
rnacentral:rRNA from 1 species